GAUGAACGCUGGCGGCGUGCCUAAUACAUGCAAGUCGAGCGAACAGACGAGGAGCUUGCUCCUCUGACGUUAGCGGCGGACGGGUGAGUAACACGUGGAUAACCUACCUAUAAGACUGGGGUAACUUCGGGAAACCGGAGCUAAUACCGGAUAAUAUAUUGAACCGCAUGGUUCAAUAGUGAAAGACGGUUUUGCUGUCACUUAUAGAUGGAUCCGCGCCGCAUUAGCUAGUUGGUAAGGUAACGGCUUACCAAGGCAACGAUGCGUAGCCGACCUGAGAGGGUGAUCGGCCACACUGGAACUGAGACACGGUCCAGACUCCUACGGGAGGCAGCAGUAGGGAAUCUUCCGCAAUGGGCGAAAGCCCGACGGAGCAACGCCGCGUGAGUGAUGAAGGUCUUCGGAUCGUAAAACGCUGUUAUUAGGGAAGAACAAAUGUGUAAGUAACUAUGCACGUCUUGACGGUACCUAAUGAGAAAGCCACGGCUAACUACGUG
rnacentral:rRNA from 1 species